UUUCUUUCCUCCCUUCGUCUUUCUCCCCUCUACUCUCGCCCUUUCUUUCGUAGCCGCGAGCCGGCGACGACAGGGCAAGCGGACACCCUUUGCCAGGUCUUCGUCGGGCGCUUCGCCGGCGACGAGCAUCCGACAGGUUUAUGGAACCUCUUAAAAGCUAUCCCUCCAGGAGCCAUUUCACAGAGGUAAUUUUUCUUGAUUCUCCUUACUUAUCAUCUUCAACCUCCAACUUACACUAUGUCUACUUGUUUAUUUUGGUGAUUCAGUUGUCUCUGAACUUUCUCGUCGUAUGUGUGAUCUGUACAACUCUGCCAUUUGAAGAUAAACUGCAUGCCUAACUAUGUCAUCCAUGUUGUUUUCUCGCUUCCAAAAAAUCUCCCAAAUUUCUUUUGUAAUAGAACAACUGAGUUCUCCAUGUUUUGUUUAUGGUGCCAUUCCAAUUUCGUAUGUUUGUUUCCAAGUUAAAAAUUUCACCUCUUGAGAGUACAUUUUAUUUAGUAAUUUAGAAAAUCUACUCUGUAACCUGAAAAGACUCAAUGCAAACAAACUCAUCUAGUGCAUGGCAAAUCAUAAAGGCUACAACACCUUUAUAUUAGUAUGAUUUUGACUGAGAAAACAGCACCAGUCCAUAUUCCCUGUCUGAGAAUUGGUAACGAAAUGGAGUUUACAUAGGGAUCAUAAGAGCACUGGUAAAAAUAGGGAUAGGAGAAUAAAAGAAGCUGGACAGCAUGUGUUUGCUUGUCUAAAUUACCAAUGUAACUUGAGAUAAUACCGUAUGAUACCAGCUCUACUAACUUGAUAUAUUUCUAUAGCAUCAAUGAAGCUGCUAGCUCAGGCAUCUGACUUUACAAUGUAUGGCGAAUCAUGUUUUAGGGUUUGCCACAUCAUUCAUGAUCUUUUUCCUGUGAUCACCUAAAUUUUAUUUUAAUUCAACUUCAAUUAUUGAGUUUUGCUCUUGACCUUCGUGCCUGAUGUGUUGUUCAAAUCUCCCAAGUAUUUGUAUUCUGUCAUUUGUAGAUCAACCGCAUGCCAUGUUAUUGUUAUCCAUGUUAUUAAUGAUCUCCAACUUUCUUGCGUUCUUUGUAUUUGGUUUAUGGUCCCAUCUCAAUUUCAUGUUUGUUUCUGAGUUAAAAAAGUUUACCUCUUGGGAAUACAUUUUAUUUAGGAGUUUUCAAAAUCUAUACCGUAAUCCAAAAGGGACACAGUGAACAAGCUCAUUUUCGAGCAUGAUAAAUCUCGAAGGACAUAACAACUUAUUUUAGUAUGUAUUUGACAAAAAACAGGCGUGGCUUGCAGUCCCUAUCUGAGAUUGGUUACAAAACAGAGUUAAACUAUGAUCCUAACAAGACACUGGUACAAGUACUAGCUUCCCUAAGUUACCUCUGCAAAAUGAGAUAACGCUAAACUGUAUGACACCAGUUCUACUACUUGAUCUUUGUAUAGCAUUAAUGAAUCUGCUUGCCCAAGCACCUGACUAUAUCUAUUUAGAUGUGCAUGAUUAUCAGUAGGUAUAGUGUGAAUUUGAAUUACAGAAACUCUAAAGUAUUUUCUUGGUUUCUUCAUUUUCAAGCUUUUGGCUAGUAAUUAUUUCUUUCCAGAAAUACAGAACAAGGAGCUGAUUUAAUAGCAUUCUUGGACUUCAAUAUGCUGUCUGAUGAAAAUAACAGAAUCUUUUCCUAAUUACCUUUUUUCUCUUUGUUACAGUUCAUAAUAACAUUGUCUACUUUUCGUUACUAGAAAACAUAAUGUGAUGUGUGACCAAAUUAAAAUUCUGAUAGUCUUUUUAUCCAAAUUAAAUUGUUUUGUUUUCAAUAUUGUGCUAGUUAAUACACGACAAUGGUUCACCAUACUGAUAUCCAACCUACAGCAAUUGAAGUUGAAGCUAUACUCGUCUUGUUUGUGUUUUAUGUGUUAAUUUAUUUUAAACAUGGAGCUUGGUAGCAUUUGAACAUAGUUAUUUGUAUGUUUUACUUUCUUUUAAAUAGAAUCACAAACCUACAUUACAAAUUUCAGGGAUUCUUCUCAGCAUUUGCCAUCCUAUAACUUAGUAUUGGUUUAUUAAAGAAGCAUAGAGUUUGAUUUCAGCCUGCUCUUUGUUCAUCUUAGUUGCAGUAAACUGAGCUAAUCUUGAUGGUGUAUCAGUUGCAACAAAGAGAAAAGAGGUGCUAAGAGAUCAAAGCUGGCCGUGCAAGACUUCCACAGUUCCACGGUUACACCACAUCCUGUGUUGCUCGUGCCAAAAAAACAGAGCACAGUAGACAAUCUCAACAUCAUGCUGUGUGUGUAAAGGAAAUCAUUGAAGCAAGUUGGCUUUACCUGACUCUGAGGUAUGUGCAGAGCCGAUCCCAGAAAUCCAUCAGUUGAGUCCCUGUCAGAACACCGGAACCACCCUCUCUGCCAUUUAUCCGGACAAGGUGGCCGAAGCCAUUGUCAUGAACAAUGCCGUGCAACAAAUGGCGUGGAUUAUCUAACUGCCUAUAGUCCCAGUCUUCUGGAUCAUCAUAAGACAUCCCAUGGUUGCAUGACUGGCACCUGAUUAAUGACAGAUGAUCAGUACUAGCAGGGACUUUGAGUUGCUUGAAUGAAACAAUCGCAAACUACAGUACUACUUUCCAGCUGUCUGGGAUUAUUGCUUUGGGGAUUUUGAUGUUAUACUACUGGAGUGGGUUACUAGUACUGAUAGAACAGA